UCUGGUUGAUCCUGCCAGAGGUUACUGCUAUCGGUGUUCGCCUAAGCCAUGCGAGUCAUAUGUUCUUCGUGAACAUGGCGUACUGCUCAGUAACACGUGGAUAACCUGCCCUUGGGUCCGGCAUAACCCCGGGAAACUGGGGAUAAUUCCGGAUAACGCAUAUAUGCUGGAAUGCUUUAUGCGUCAAAUGGAUUCGUCUGCCCAAGGAUGGGUCUGCGGCCUAUCAGGUAGUAGUGGGUGUAAUGUACCUACUAGCCGACGACGGGUACGGGUUGUGAGAGCAAGAGCCCGGAGAUGGAUUCUGAGACAUGAAUCCAGGCCCUACGGGGCGCAGCAGGCGCGAAAACUUUACAAUGCGGGAAACCGUGAUAAGGGGACACCGAGUGCCAGGUUACAAAUCUGGCUGUCGUGAUGCCUAAAAAGCAUUGCAUAGCAAGGGCCGGGCAAGACCGGUGCCAGCCGCCGCGGUAACACCGGCGGCUCGAGUGGUAACCGUUGUUAUUGGGUCUAAAGGGUCUGUAGCCGGCCGGAUAAGUCUCUUGGGAAAUCCAGCAGCUCAACUGUUGGGCUUUCAGGAGAUACUGUCUGGCUCGAGGCCGGGAGAGGUGAGAGGUACUUCAGGGGUAGGGGUGAAAUCUUGUAAUCCUUGAAGGACCACCAGUGGCGAAGGCGUCUCACCAGAACGGACCUGACGGCAAGGGACGAAAGCUAGGGGCACGAACCGGAUUAGAUACCCGGGUAGUCCUAGCCGUAAACGAUACUCGCUAGGUGUCGGCAACGGUGCGACCGUUGUCGGUGCCGUAGGGAAGCCGUGAAGCGAGCCACCUGGGAAGUACGGCCGCAAGGCUGAAACUUAAAGGAAUUGGCGGG
rnacentral:rRNA from 1 species